UUUAUCUUUUAAUAUUUCAAUAGGAUAACUUUACCCUACUCACAAGAAUUGUGUGAACAAAAAUUCAGAGAGUUUGGAAGAUAGGAAGUACAUAUUCCGACCUCUAAGCAGCCGCCGAUGUUUCUUCCAAUCUCUGCAGUUAACAAUGCUACACUGGGAGCUUAAGAACCACCGUUGUCAUCCUCCUGAAUCACGCGGUUGAAUAGCCAAGAGGUUUAUAUGUUAUGACAUUUUUGUUUGGAAUUGGGGGUUGGAAGGAGAGGUGAUGAUGGUCACUUGAUGCAAGUUUCAUUGGCUGGUCAAAUUCAUUAUCAGGUUCCAUUGUUGUUUAUUUAGAUCUCUGAAUGUUUCUCUCUAUUCAAACUUAAUUUGGUUUUACAUGUUCUUUAUUUUUUAGUAGUUUGUACUAGUUAUGUUAUAUACUAACUGAGCAUUAGCUACAAUGAUUUUACUUGUUAAACAUUUAAUGAGUUCUGGUUUGAGGAGCCUUCUGUUCCGCAAACUCAAGUCUUCCUAGAUGCAAUGCAAUUCAGCAAAUAUUAUUUACUAUCGACAAGUUGGGUAAAGUCUUGAGUUAAUAUAUUUUUGAUAGAAUCAUUCUAAUAAUUGUUGCUUCUGUUUUUUGUUUUUUGGUUCCAAGUCUGGUGACUGGUGGGAACUUAUGCUUUAUUUAUUUCAUAUACAGAUAUACUUCAAAUUAUUAUGGGCUAUGAAGCAAAUUCAUGUAGUAAGAAUAAAAAAACGGCUUUGUUUAGAGUUUGGAGGGGAAGGGAGGGAAUGACUUUAAAAAAUAGAAAGAAUUGGGUGAAAGGAAUAAAAAGAUUUUGGGUAGGAGGGUUUUGGAGGGUUUGAUUUUAUUCAUAACACCAAAAACCCUAUAAAAUGGGGAACUCAUAAAUUGUAUUGAAGGAGGAUUUUUGAGGGUUUUGGAGGGCUUACAUAAAUUUUCCAAAUAUCAUAUAAGUAAUUAUACUAUUUUGAAAAUUAACAAUUUAGUAAUAAUAAUGACUCUUUUAUCAUUCUAAACAAAAUUAUUUUUUCAAAAAAAGUCAAAUAUUUUUCUAUAAUUUUCUAAAAUUUUAUUUUCGAAAGCCUUCCCCUCCCCCCCCCCCCCCCCCUCCAAACUCGCAAACAUAGCCUAAGUGUGAACUCAAGGCCAAGGAGAAUCAAUAUCACCAAAAAAUAUUAGUAUACAAAGCUUCUCACCUUCUUGCGUGAGCUAGUUCUAACACUGCAACAAUCUUAAAACCUCUGACAGCCUUAACUCAAGGGAUUGUCACAUAUUUUACUUUAAACAAGUACAAUUGAGGCUCGUUGUGGGGCCCGAUAAAACUGAGUUAAGUUACCAUUGCAACAUUUGAAUAGAUAGCUAUCUCUAAGUCUGACUCCUCCAUCCAUCACGGUGAACAAGAAGGUAGCAACUCCGACUAACCGGGAGUCUGACGGUGAGGAUCAUUUCAUGGAAGAGAUGCGCGUUGCCAUGGAGGACUUACCCCGUCAAAUUAAAACUUUGGAGGAUAACACCCUACAUAUUUAACAAUUCCAGUAGGAGGAUGACCCUCUAGAAGAGACUGAAAUCCUAGACCCCAACCUUUCUUAGAUGAAAUAUGGGGGACGACAAUAUUAGAAAAUUUCAACCCGCCCUCAUUAGCCAAAUUUGAUGGUCACAAUGACCCAUAUGAGUAUGUCGCCUCCAUCAAUUAUUGGGUUUCGAAAUCCCACCCACAAUUAAGAUGCUAGGAGUAAGAGAAAUUGCAUCAAAGUUAAACAUGUCAUAUUGACAAUAUUAAUGGAAACAACAUAAAGCAUUUUGAACUCCAAUGUAAAAGUAGCUAGUCACAUUUUACUCCAUGUCAUACAUAACCGUUGACAUUAAAUUUUUUCCUUUUAAUAACGCCUUUGAUUGAAUCAUUAAUGAAAGUGAGGUUGCAGCAUGUUGUUUCACGCUGAAUUGUAGUCAUAAAUCUCUACGCGACACCUAAAUCUAAUUGGUAAUGUGUAUUUGCUACAAAAAUACAUCACUUUUCUCUCUUCUUACCACAAAGAGGAAGAAGUAAAUAUUCCAUCCCCAUUUCUCUUCCUCAUACAACUAUACCAUGCAUCAUGACAGAAUACAUUAACGGAAGUUGAUUGUAUUUAAAGUGAUUUCCAAAUAAUAGGAAAGUUGUGAGUCAUAUCCGUUCACAUAUAUUGUUUGUGUCAUCUGUGUCAUGCAAAUCAGAAAUUUUUUGGAUAUUGUUUUCGUUGCAUUUCGCAACCUCCUCUCUAGUAAAAUGAGGAAGUGGUAGGAAAGAAGAAUCAUCAUGCCAUAUUGCAUGAACAACCAUUGCAUUAAUAUUAGUUGCAUGAUUAAUUAACAAAAAUACAACCCUCUUUGAUAUUACUUUAACCAAAUCAAUUAGAAACUUGUCCAAUAACAAUAUAACUUCUCUAAUGUCAGUUACAAGGUUUCUAGUUUGAACAUGCGUCCUUGAGAAGUAGGCCGGAAGUAGGGUAUUAUCUCUAACGCAUGGGUGUGUGAAGUUCGCAUUUUCAUAUACAAAUUCUUGUUGGGUGAUGAGAUGUUUGAUUAUUCCUCAAAAAGCACUCGUCUAUUUGUCAUCACGUCUGUUUAAUAGACGGGUACUUUUAGAUGAUGGAAUAAUCAAACAUCUAAUCACUUAAUAGAGAUUUGUCUUUGAAAAUGCGAACGUCACACACCUUCACAUAAGGGCUAAUACCAUGCUUCAAACCUACUUCUCAAGAACGUUCAAAUUAGAAACCUUGUAGCGGACGGACUGUAGAUAGGUUAUAUUGUUAUUGGACAAUCUUCUAAUUGGUCUGAUUAAAAUGAUAUCGAAGAUGUGUUGGAUUUCGUUGAUUAACUGUGCGGUAAAUAUUAAUGAUUUUUCAUGUAAUUUGGCAUGCUGAUUCUUCUUUGUUACAACUUCUUCAUUUUACUUGAGAGUUGGUUGCUAAAUGGAGUGGAAAUUAUAUUCUAAAAUUUUUUGAUUUGCAUAACACAAAGACACAUAGUAUCUAUGAACGACUAAGACUCACAACUUUUUUAUAACCAACUUCCAUUGAAGUAUUCCGCCAAUUAGAUGGUAUAGUUGUAUGGAGCAAAGAACAAUGGAUGUGGAGUUGAGUACCAAGAGAAAUGGGGAUGCAAUAUUUAUUUGUUCUUUUUAUUCUGAUAAAAAUGAGGGGUUUUUUAAGUAGAUCACACGACCAAUUACCUAAAAGAUUUAGGUGUCACAUUAAAGUUUACGGCCCCAAUUCAAACUGAAACAACUCUAACCUCACUUUCAUAAGUGAUUCUAACAAAGAUGUUACUAAAAGAAAACAUUUUUAUUUGAAAGUUUAUGACAUGAAGUAAAAGGUGAGUAGUUGGCUAACUACAUUUACACUGAAGUUUCAACUCUAAUAUGAUGUUUUUUGCUACAUGUUAUUUGCAUUAAUAUUGUCACUCACUUGUUUAACUUUGACCGGAUUCCUCUUACUUGCCUAUCAUUUUAAUUGUGGGUGUGAUCUUCCUUCUAUUGUCUUCUUUAUGUUUUUAAAAUUUAUUUCUAUGUAUUAAUACUACGGUAUAUGUAUUUUUAGUUUUCUGUUUGAUUUAUAUUUUUCUUUUUCGAAACACAAUUGUAUUCUCAAGUUAUUUGCAAUUUUUAUAAGUUCAAGAAUGUUCAUACUGAUGUUUUGUUUCUUUAAUCUUUAUUACAUUGUUCCAAACAUACGAUGGCAAUUUGUGGAAAGGAGAUUACGAUUUCAUAGUUUAAGUUUGUUAUUGCUCUUGGAUGAGGAUUUAGCGCCCAAGACUGGUUUUGCAAUUUAUCACUUCAUUUGGUGAUCAUGAACUUCAUUGGUUAAAUUGGUCUGGUGUUUUUUUGUUAUGUUUUUUGUUUUCAAGAGAAGCAUUGGAUGAUAAAGAUGAAUAGUAUUAUAUACAUGAGUUUUAUCAAACAGGAUUUAAAGAUGUCACUGAGAUUUAGAUUUGGAUAUUUUGGUCUCUUUCAAACUAUCUAUUUAAUAUAAAAUGGAUUCAUGUGAAGCACCGGUAAAAAUGAUCCUAUGUUCUUUGAUGGUUUGAAAUUAAGCCCUUCCACGUUUCCUCUUUACUAGAUGUUUAUAUGUAUAACACAUGGAUUAAUAUUAUAUGAUUUUAUUUUUAAUUUAUUUUUUGAACAAAUAGUUUGAUUAUAUAAAAUAUGAAUGUUUUGGAUUUUUGAAUUGUGGGAUUGAAUUUCGAUAGUAUAUUUGAAGGGAGAUAGAUGUAAUAUAUUUGUAUUUAUAAAUAUUUUAUGAGUUAUAAUAUUUUAUGUCUUUUGGAUGUUAUUUAUUAUCAAAUUUUUGAAGUUUAAGCAUCACAUAUCUUUUUAAGUAUGAUAUAAAAUAAUUUCUCAUCCGUCCAGUUAAGUCAACCCAAUUGAUAGUUUGUGUAGAAACAUAAAAGAAGAAAUCAAAACUCUUUUAGAUAAAAAUCUCAAAAAACACUCUAGAUCUCUUUGAAGUUGUGCAACUCUUUAUGUUAACAAUCAAGGCGAAAUAAGAACCUGGAGUCUUAAUGAAGUUCUGGAAUGGAUUUGAUAUAUGAUUCCUAACAAGUGAUAACUUAUUAAUAGACUUAAGAAGCCAAAGUGUUUUAAAAAUUUGAUCUAAGGUUUAUCCAAGUUCAGGAACAAGAUAAGUACAAACAGAUUUAUAGUGUCGUUUGAUCAUUAUGAAUGCACUACUAAAAAUAUUACAUUUGGUUAAAAAAUUUUACAUCAGGUAUAAAGAUAAUUGAUGUGAAAAAUAUAUGUCAAAAAAUUUUACAUCAGGUUUUAUAAUAAAUUGAUGUGAAAAAAAUUUAAUUUUAGAGAUUUUACAUCAGACAUUUAAUGGACAUGAAGGGAAAAAUAAAACAAAAAUAAAAAAACCAAUACACGGUGGCAUAACCGUAAAUAAGCUGAAAUUAUUUUAUAAAGCCUUUCCCAUCGGGUGCUAAACGGCCUGAUGGGAAAUAUAUGGUUUACUGGGCUUUUACAUCAGGUGCUGAACGGCCCGAUGGGAAAAAUUAAACAAAAAUAAAAUCGUAAAUAAGCUGAAAUUAUUUUAUAAAGCCUAUUACAUCAAGUGCUAAACGGCCCGAUGGGAAAAGUAGCGCAUAAUGGGCUAUUACUUCAGCCCAUAUAUUACCCGAUGGGAAAUAGUCUCUCCCACUAUUUCACUAAACCCUAACCUCACAAAACAUUUCCCAAAUCUGUUUUUUUCUUUCACCGCGAGAGCUCCCACCGCGACACCG